UUAAUGCAGCACUAAACUUUUUAUGACUUUUCUGUUGUAUUUCUCUUUCAGGGUUUUCUGGAGGAGUACAGAACCUGAGCAGAAAGAGGCCAGAGUCAGAGCAACUCUACCUGCUGGAUGACAUCAGGUGUCCAGAGUAGGGCAAACAAGAGCCUGACAUGCCACAAGGCUGCCGGACCCUCCAGGAUCUGUGAUGGCCAUGCUUCUCUUCGAGCCAUGGAGAAAGGCUUAAAUCCUAUAUCCUCAAAACGCCAACAACCAAGGCUGAGUCCAUCCGUCCGUCCGUCCGUCAGUCCGUCUGUUCCGGGCGGCGGGCUUCAGGAGGCGUCCCUGGAUAUCCACCCACUUUCGGUAAGGAAGUUCAGGAUUCACUUCCUGAGGACUUUAUCCAGGCAGCUGGGCAGGCGGCUCUUGGAGGGGAUGCCCUGGCGCUUCUGCAGGUGGUCCUUGAUGAUUAUGGUCUUCACAGUCACGUAGCGCGCGGGGCUCAGGUUCAGCGAGUUGCACAUCACCUUCUCGCGGUCGACAAGCGCUCGAAGCCCGGAAGGUGCUCGAUGGCCACGAACUCGCCAUCCCGGCCGUCCUCCUUGCCGCGCUUGGCGCCCCCCGCCGCCGCCGCCUUGUUCUCCUUGCACUUCUCGUGCUUGUGCCGGGCCGCCUCGUACUCGGCCGACUCCUCCAUCUUUGUGAUGCCGUUGCGCUGGUAGCACUGCAGCUUCUCCUUGUGCAUUUUCUCGAAUAGGUCGUCGAACUCCUUGCACGACAUGAACUGGUACACUGGCCGCAGCUUCAGGCGCAGCUCCUUCUCCUUGGUGACCUUGCAUAGCGCCGCCCGCUCCUUCUCCUUGUCCUUGCCCAGGAAGGCGGGCACCAGGUUGUAGUCGCGCGCGAUGUUCUUGCUCCACUGCCGCUCGCGGACCUUGAGCACGUACAUGUGCACGUGCGCGCGCUUCAGCUCGAUCUCCACGUCUCAUCGUCGUAGUUGACCGGGAGCCCGGUGAUGAGCGUCUCGGCGUUCUGGUCGUACUGGAUCUAGUAGUCGUCCCGCAGAGGCAUGUAGCCCAGCUGCUACUGCUCAGCCACCGAGAUGUGUAAUGCUCCAUCACUUCCUGGGGGGUCCGGGAAGCGCCGACGUGAGUUGCCAUGUCCUCCCAGUUCCCAUAGCCGAACUGCUCGAUGGCAUCCAGCAGCAGCUGCUCCUCGCGGCUGCUUCAGCCGCCCUCGGCCUCGGGCCCCCAGAGCGUGAAGCGCCCGCCGUGCACCAGCUGGUAUCCGUGGUAGCGGCGGCGGUGGUGGCGGCGCCGCGGAGAAGCACUCGGGGCACGGCUCGAUGUCUUGGCACUUGGUGCAGCGGAAGCGCAGCGGGCUCACCUCGGCCAGGCAGUACACGCAGUACUUCUUGCCGAGCUCCUCCACCUUCC
rnacentral:lncRNA from 1 species